CCUACGGGGGGCAGCAGUGGGGGAUAUUGCACAAUGGGGGAAACCCUGAUGCAGCGACGCCGCGUGUGGGAAGACGGUCUUCUGGAUUGUAAACCACUGUCCCCAGGGACGAAAAUGACGGUACCUGGGGAGGAAGCUCCGGCUAACUACGUGCCAGCAGCCGCGGUAAUACGUAGGGAGCAAGCGUUGUCCGGAAUUACUGGGUGUAAAGGGAGCGUAGGCGGGGAUGGAAGUUGGGUGUCAAAACUACCGGCUCAACCGAUAGUCGCACUCAAAACUGCAACUCUUGAGUGAAGUAGAGGCAGGCGGAAUUCCUAGUGUAGCGGUGAAAUGCGUAGAUAUUAGGAGGAACACCAGUGGCGAAGGCGGCCUGCUGGGCUUUUACUGACGCUGAGGCUCGAAAGUGUGGGGAGCAAACAGGAUUAGAUACCCUUGUAGUC
rnacentral:rRNA from 1 species